GAGCGGUUGCCAUAGAAACGCCGUCGGCAACGGUGGAUCGCCGUGUGCUGCUGUUGGUGUGACCUCAGGUGUGGUCAGGGAGGUCUGAGACCCCGCAGAUGAGGUUUAGCCCAGCCGUGCAGCAGUCUACUGCAUAGCGACACAACCCACACACACCAGCCUGUCUGCACAUGCAGGGAUCUUCCUUU